rnacentral:rRNA from 1 species
GACAGAGGGUGCAAACGUUGUUCGGAAUUACUGGGCGUAAAGCGCGUGUAGGCGGCCCUGCAAGUCGGAUGUGAAAUCCCACGGCUCAACCGUGGAAGUGCAUUCGAAACUGCAGGGCUAGAGCCUGGAGAGGAAGGUGGAAUGCUUGGUGUAGAGGUGAAAUUCGUAGAUAUCAAGCGGAACACCGGUGGCGAAGGCGGCCUCUGGACAGUGACUGACGCUGAGACGCGAAA